AGUGAACGCUGGCGGUAGGCCUAACACAUGCAAGUCGAACGGCAGCACAGUAAGAGCUUGCUCUUACGGGUGGCGAGUGGCGGACGGGUGAGGAAUACAUCGGAAUCUACUUUUUCGUGGGGGAUAACGUAGGGAAACUUACGCUAAUACCGCAUACGACCUACGGGUGAAAGCAGGGGAUCUUCGGACCUUGCGCGAUUGAAUGAGCCGAUGUCGGAUUAGCUAGUUGGCGGGGUAAAGGCCCACCAAGGCGACGAUCCGUAGCUGGUCUGAGAGGAUGAUCAGCCACACGGGAACUGAGAAACGGUCCAGAAACCUACGGGAGGCAGCAGUGGGGAAUAUUGGACAAUGGGCGCAAGCCUGAUCCAGCCAUACCGCGUGGGUGAAGAAGGCCUGCGGGUUGUAAAGCCCUUUUGUUGGGAAAGAAAAGCAGCAGGUUAAUACCCCGCUGUUCGGACGGGACCCAAAGAAUAAGCACCGGCUAACUUCGU
rnacentral:rRNA from 1 species